GCCCCGAACGAAUUUUUUUGGUACCCUCGGUUGAAUUUCUUUGACGCAGUUUUCAAUAGAUUGAAGUCUUAAAGCUUGUUUAGAGAUUUCCAUCUUAAGGUUAAGAAUAUGGCCUCUUCGAGUACUGUUGGGUCGUUCAAUAAAUAAACUUUUUAGUGCUAUUUGAAAAGGUGAGAGAGCAUAUUUAAUUUAUAUUUAUAUGUUAGGUUAGGGUUCAUUAUGAUCCCUGAUUUUGCCUAUUCAUAUUAGUUCUAACCAUUGCCUAAAUGUGCCUACAAUGUUAUUUUGUGGUAUAAUCAUUUUUUCCUGUUGUGUUCUUACUUCUUACCAUCGUAUUGAUGGUUUAGGUUUACUUCUGAGUUUUGGAUUUUGUUUGAAGGCCAACCAUUCAGAACUCCCUACCGUAGAGUGUGGUUCAUGAUGUUUGAGUUGUCAAUUUAAAUCUCUUUGCAGCAGAGAACAUCCUUGCAUGAAUGCUCAAUGCACCCAAUUUUGCACGGACCCAGAAACUUUGCUUGCAUUAGCAUGAACUUCAUUUCGUCUAGCUUCUUCUGAAUAGCUAGAUGGCUGACUGCGUGCUUGUUGAGACAGGCUAGAUGGUGUUCUGAAGUGACCAAGUCACUGAGGAAUUGUUGUUCUGUUCAAGCCCAAGAGCCUCUGGACAAUAUUCUUCUAGACUUGAAUACUUUUUGUCUCAAGUACUAUUUCACUGGAUGACAACAUACUUCUAGAUUGCACUGUUGAAACUUGAAGCACAAGCUCAACUUGAUUCAUCAGGAUUUGACAUUCAAUGGAAAAGGAUUCAAGCCUGCCAGAUCACAGGGGAAAAAAUUCCAGUUUCUAUAGAACAAGAGGCUACAAGAUCACUUGGGAACUUGGAUUGGGCAUAUAUCCAGCAGCAAUUAAUGCAGGAGACAGGGUAGACAGUAUUCUAUUUCUGAAAGACAUGGCACUUGUCUUGAAAUGCUUUUCACCAUUCACGUUUCUGCACGACCAUAAAAUUUUGCCUUCUUACACUUCACCAAUUACCUAGGUAUACUGCUAUUUUAAUCUUCACCUCUUAAUUCUUGUAUACAUAGCUAAUUAAUCAUUAUUAGUAAAUAAAAAUGAGUUAAACCAACAAUUUAAGUUCAACGUGUAUAUAUAUGUGUGUACAUAGUAUGUAUAUACAUACAUGUACAUAUAUUGUAUUAAGUCCUGAGUUCGAAUCUGCAGAGCAGCACUGUCAUAGCCCUCAGUCAAAGGAUUUCUUUUCAAUAAUGUGACUCCAUAUUCUUUGGAAACAAAUCUUUCACAUUUUCUUU